rnacentral:rRNA from 1 species
UACAGAGGUCUCAAGCGUUGUUCGGAUUCAUUGGGCGUAAAGGGUGCGUAGGUGGCGCGCUAAGUCAGGUGUGAAAUUUCGGAGCUCAACUCCGAAACUGCAUUUGAUACUGGCGUGCUUGAGGACUGGAGAGGAGACUGGAAUUCACGGUGUAGCAGUGAAAUGCGUAGAUAUCGUGAGGAAGACCAGUGGCGAAGGCGGGUCUCUGGACAG